rnacentral:rRNA from 1 species
GCACAAGCGGUGGAGCAUGUGGUUCAAUUCGACGCAACGCGAAGAACCUUACCUGGGCUCGAACGGCUGGCCAACGGCGCUGGAAACAAUGCUACCCCGCAAGGGGGUCCAGUCGAGGUGCUGCAUGGCUGUCGUCAGCUCGUGUCGUGAGAUGUUGGGUUAAGUCCCGCAACGAGCGCAACCCUCGUCCUGUGUUGCAACCCGCAAGGGGCACUCGCAGGAGACCGCCAGCGAUAAGCUGGAGGAAGGUGGGGAUGACGUCAAGUCCUCAUGGCCUUUAUGUCCAGGGCUACACACGUGCUACAAUGGCCGGUACAAAGCGCUGCAAACCCGCGAGGGGGAGCCAAUCGCAAAAAACCGGUCUCAGUUCGGAUUGCAGGCUGCAACUCGCCUGCAUGAAGCUGGAAUCGCUAGUAAUGGCAGAUCAGCACGCUGCGGUGAAUACGUUCCCGGGC